rnacentral:rRNA from 1 species
CAGUAGCCGCGGUAAUACGAAGGGGGCUAGCGUUGCUCGGAAUGACUGGGCGUAAAGGGCGCGUAGGCGGCGAUCAAAGUCAGGCGUGAAAUUCCUGGGCUCAACCUGGGGGCUGCGCUUGAUACUUGGUUGCUUGAGUGGGGAAGAGGGUCGUGGAAUUCCCAGUGUAGAGGUGAAAUUCGUAGAUAUUGGGAAGAACACCGGUGGCGAAAGCGGCUCACUGGACCAUUUCCGACGCUGAUGCACGAAAGCUAGGGGAGCAAACAGGAUUAGAUACCCCAGUAGUCCCUGUCUCUUAUAC